UGAGUAAUGUCUGGGAAACUGCCUGAUGGAGGGGGAUAACUACUGGAAACGGUAGCUAAUACCGCAUAACGUCUUCGGACCAAAGUGGGGGACCUUCGGGCCUCAUGCCAUCAGAUGUGCCCAGAUGGGAUUAGCUAGUAGGUGGGGUAAUGGCUCACCUAGGCGACGAUCCCUAGCUGGUCUGAGAGGAUGACCAGCCACACUGGAACUGAGACACGGUCCAGACUCCUACGGGAGGCAGCAGUGGGGAAUAUUGCACAAUGGGCGCAAGCCUGAUGCAGCCAUGCCGCGUGUAUGAAGAAGGCCUUCGGGUUGUAAAGUACUUUCAGCGAGGAGGAAGGCAUUAAGGUUAAUAACCUUAGUGAUUGACGUUACUCGCAGAAGAAGCACCGGCUAACUCCGUGCCAGCAGCCGCGGUAAUACGGAGGGUGCAAGCGUUAAUCGGAAUUACUGGGCGUAAAGCGCACGCAGGCGGUCUGUCAAGUCGGAUGUGAAAUCCCCGGG
rnacentral:rRNA from 1 species